GCACUCCACUAACGGUUGAAGAGGGUGCCCACGCCUUCAGCCUGCAAAUUCUGUUGAUUUAUCAUCUAACAUCGUCUUCGGUUGUAUGCAGAGCUCUUGAACCCUAAAAUCUCAGCAAUCAUUGGCAUCUUUGUUUUGACGAGUAUCAGGUGCUUUACUUUUCUACUUGAAUGGUGGACGUGCAAGAUAUGGGGUAUUCAGAAAAACUUCCAUUGGAAAAUGGUGACAUUUCUUGUCAAGUUGUUCUUCCAAAGUUUAAGAGGCGGAAGGUUUCUGCAGUUCGCGAUUUUCCCCCAGGAUGUGGCCCAAAUGCCCCAAAAAUCAAUAUAAAGCCGACAGAAGCUACAGUACCUUCUGUUGUCGAGGAGAAUUCGGUGGGUGUGGAAAAGAAAUGUGAUGCUUUGGAGGUUGGGACUGCAAAAAUAUCGGAAAAUGAGGUUGAUUUUCAAUCUACUGAAUCCUCAAAAGGCUUAGCUCCAAUGGAUACGCCUGUAUUGUUGAAUGAUUUGGAGUCUAAGGAAGGAAAGGCUGUGGUCCAGUCUGAAAUUACUGGAGGUGGGGAAUUGGUGAAUGUGGAGUGCCUGGGAAUAGAGUUUCCGGUGGCUUCAAAUAAUGUGGUGAUUGAACCCUCAAAGGAAUUGGAGUAUAAUACCGUUGAAUUGUCAAAUAGUCGACAGCCAGCAGAAUGUUUUGGCUUAGUAAAAAAUGCAGAUGCAUUGGAAAGGAAAAAUGUGUUGAAAGGUGAGGGUCUAGAUGAAAACAUGCUCUCAGGAAGUCUGAAACAAGUAUCAUCACCUACAUGGCCUGCUGCUGGUGCCAUUGUUGAGAAUAAUGUAACAAAAAAAUAUCCUCCUCGAAGGAGAAUUUCAGCCACCCGAGACUUCCCUCCAUUGUGUGGAAGGCAUGUUGCUGAACUUGCCAAGGACAAAUGCUUGAAAGCUACUGCUUAUUCUGAGAACAAGAUUUUGGGUGAGGAUAAAUCUAGUAUGGAACAUAAGUUGAUGGAAGAAAUGGUAAAGACUGAUGUUAAACGAAAUGGAGAAAAUGUUGAGGAUGGAGUUUCUGUCAGGAACAAAAUGGGAGGAAUUGUCUCUAAAGAGACUGAGAACAAGGAUCUUGCUGAACCUGGAACGGGUACUGCUAGAGAAAUGGACAUGCAAGUUCAACCCAAAACAUCUCCCAAGAUUAGGGCAGUACAGGAUGAUACAAAAAUGAAGAGUGUCAAACGUCCUCAAGAGAGUAAUUUGCGCCAACAAGACCAUGAGUACCUGGCAGUUGAUAAGAUUAGAAACACAAAUGUUGGAAGUUUUGAGGAGAAAGCUAAGAGGGAACCUGUGACUGUAUCAAAAGAAAAAAGUUCUAAAAGAAGGUUUUCUGCAACAACUGGUGGUGUGAAUCAACCGCAAUUAGAAGAUCCUAGUGGUUUGGAAACUGCAUCAGGCAUGGUGAUUGUGCUAGGGUUAAUGGCUGCCCCAUAUUGUCCCUGGAGACAGGGGAAGGGAGCAAAUAAACCUAAUUUAGCAGGUGGUACAAGUGGAAGCAAAGGAAAGAAGAAUGAUUUUGCCAGCAAAGCAAAAGGCUCAUCUAGUUCUGCAACGAAGAAGAAUGGAUCAGAGAAGUUAGGAGGAAAAUCUUUGAAGAAAGCAACUCCAACAGGAAAGGGUUUUCACAAAGUUAUGAAUCAGUCAGUAGUCAGGGAUGCAGAAGAUUCUAGUGAGGAUGAUGAAGGACAUGGAGAUUAUCGUAUAGUUCAAAGAUCACAGCAUAUGAAUGUGAGCAUGCUACCAUUUUUUGGUUUGAUUACAAGUGGUGAUCAUGAUGCUACAGUAACCCGAAGCAAGGUGAGAGAGACUUUACGUUUGUUUCAAGCUAUCUGCCGAAAACUCUUGCAGGAAGAAGAAGCAAGGUCCAAGGAAGAAAGAAAUAUGAAGAGGAUUGACCUACUAGCAGCUAGGAUUCUUAAGGAUAAAGGGAAAUAUGUUAACACAGGCAAACAAAUAAUUGGUAUUGUUGCUGGAGUAGAAGUUGGCGAUGAGUUCCAGUACAGGGUGGAACUUACUAUUAUUGGUCUUCAUCGCCAAAUGCAAAGUGGUAUUGAUUACUUGAAGAAAGAUGGCAAAAUAAUUGCCUCAAGUAUCGUAGCUUCUGGUGGUUAUGCUGAUGAUUUAGAUAAUCCUGAUCUUUUAAUAUACUCAGGUUCAGGGGGGAAUGUGACUAGUGGGGAUAAACAACCUGAAGAUCAAAAGCUUGAGCGGGGAAACUUAGCAUUGAAGAAUAGCAUAGAUGCAAAAAAUCCUGUAAGGGUUAUACGUGGAUUUAAAGAGUCAAAGGCUUCUGACUCCUCAGAUGCAAGAGCAAAGAUAGUGUCGACAUACACUUAUGAUGGUUUGUAUCUGGUGGAAAAGUUUUGGCAAGAAAUGGGGCAGCACGGGAAGUUGGUCUUCAAGUUUCAGUUGAGAAGAAUUUCAGAUCAGCCAGAGCUUGCUUGGAGAGAAGUGAAGAAGUCUAAAAAAUUUAAAGUAAGGGAGGGCAUUUGUGCGAAUGAUAUUUCAGAAGGGAAGGAGUUAAUGACCAUUUGUGCCGUGAACACAUUAGAUGAUGAGAAACCCCCACCAUUUACAUACAUAACAAGUAUGAAAUAUCCAUCUUGGUACUGUCCUCCUCUUCUUGGGGGCUGUGAUUGUAUUGAUGGAUGUUCUGAUUCUGAGAGAUGUUCUUGUGCAGUCAAGAAUGGAGGAGAGAUCCCAUACAACCACAAUGGGGCUAUUGUUGAAGCAAAGCCCCUUGUCUAUGAAUGUGGUUCUUCAUGCAAGUGCCCUCCUUCUUGCCAUAACAGAGUCAGUCAGAAUGGUAUUAAAUUUCAACUUGAAAUCUUUAAAACUGAAUCAAGAGGGUGGGGUGUCAGAUCGCUGAAUUCCAUUCCUUCUGGCAGUUUUAUAUGCGAGUAUGCUGGAGAGCUCCUUGAAGAAAAGGAAGCCGAGCAAAGAACUGGUAAUGAUGAGUAUCUUUUUGAUAUUGGUCAUAACUACAAUGAUCAUACCUUAUGGGGUGGACUUGCAAGUCUCAUGCCUGAUGCACAAUCAAGUUCCUGUGAAGGUGUGGAGGAUGGUGGUUUCACCAUUGAUGCAGCAGAGUUUGGAAGCGUUGCGAGAUUCAUCAACCAUAGUUGUUCCCCUAAUCUUUAUGCUCAAAAUGUCCUUUAUGAUCGUGGGGACAAGAGAAUGCCUCACAUAAUGCUGUUUGCUGCUGAGAACAUUCCUCCUUUACAAGAGCUUACAUACCAUUACAAUUAUGCUAUAGAUCAAGUUCGCGAUUCUGAUGGCAACAUCAAGAAGAAAACAUGCUAUUGUGGUUCCCUAGAGUGCACUGGUAGGAUGUAUUAAGGCAGAUUGUUGCAGAAAAAUAUUGGCUUUCUUAUGAAUUGGAGAUUCCUUGUUUCUCUGCUGGUUCAGGUGAGCACCACAGGUAUUUUUCGGGGUCUCUGUUGGCGUAGUUCAAGAAAUCAGUGGAUCGAGAAAUGGAAGAUGCCGUUAGAAUCCUGGUUCUGCUACCAACAUUUCUACUAGAGCAGAUUUUUCAUGGGAACGGUUUAGGCACUGCUCUUGGGGAAAGGAUUUCCUCGAGAUCGAACUUUAAGAGUUUGAGGUUUUUAUAGCAUUAUUGGAGAAUAGAAAAAGAAAAUGGUAUAUUUCUAUUUUAAUUUUGGGAUGCAAAUAUUAAGUUUUACGUCCUUAUAUUUUAAGUCUGUGGAGAAAAGAAAGUUUGUGAACAUACUAGAAAUGUUUUGGAGAUAUAUGUAAUUAUGGAAAUACAGGUGUUGAAGAAUAUUAUGAUCUAUGGAUAAAAGUAGGAAACUCUGGUAUUAUUUGUAUAAUUGAGGUUCAUAGUUGUGUUU